rnacentral:rRNA from 1 species
CUGUGGUAAUGUAGCAUAAUCAAUCGCCAUUUAAUUGAUGGAUAGUAUGAAUGGUUGAACGAAUAUUACACUGUCUCCAAUAGAAAAUUUAUGAAACUAAGAUAAUAGUUAAGACGCUAUUUAAAACUGUAAGACGAAAAGACCCUAUAGAGCUUAACUAUAAUCUUUAUCUUAAUAAUUAUAAAUAAAAUAAUGAAUAAAUAAAGACUGGUAGUUUAGUUGGGGCGACUGUCUUCUAUAACGAACGAAGACUAGCAAAGUCAAUAAAAAUGACUUAUUGUUUAAUUAACAAAUUUAACAAUUACAAGCGUAGGCUAUAAUGACCCAUUGAUUUUGAGAAAAAAAAUCAAUGAUUAAAGAAUAAAAGCUACCUUAGGGAUAACAGGAUAAUUUUGUCUUAGAGACCAUAUCGAAGACAAA